rnacentral:rRNA from 1 species
UACGUAGGGGGCGAGCGUUGUCCGGAGUUACUGGGCGUAAAGCGCACGCAGGCGGUCUGUUAAGUUUGGAGUGACAGUUGGUGGCUUAACUGCCAAAGUGCUUCGAAAACUGACAGACUUGAGGGCUUCAGAGGGACACGGAAUUCCGGGUGGAGUGGUGAAAUGCGUAGAGAUCUGGAGGAACACCAAAGGCGAAGGCAGUGUCCUGGGGAGUACCUGACGCUCAGGUGCGAAAGCCAGGGGAGCGAACGGG